AGGACGAACGCUGGCGGCGCGCUUAACACAUGCAAGUCGAGCGAGAACCAGUCCUUCGGGACUGGGGACAGCGGCGAACGGGUGAGUAACACGUGGGUAAUCUGCCCUCGAUUCUGGGAUAGCCCGGGGAAACCCGGAUUAAUACCGGAUAGCCUCCCGAGCUUACGAGCUCGUGAGAAAAGGUAGCUUCGGCCUCCGAUCGAGGAUGAGCCCGCGGCGGAUUAGCUUGUUGGUGGGGUAAUGGCCUACCAAGGCAACGAUCCGUAGCUGGUCUGAGAGGACGAUCAGCCACACUGGGACUGAGACACGGCCCAGACUCCUACGGGAGGCAGCAGUGGGGGAAUCUUGCGCAAUGGGCGAAAGCCUGACGCAGCGACGCCGCGUGGGGAAGAAGGCCUU
rnacentral:rRNA from 1 species